rnacentral:rRNA from 1 species
CACGGAGGGCGCAAGCGUUGUCCGGAAUUAUUGGGCGUAAAGAGCUCGUAGGCGGUCUGUUGCGUCCGCUGUGAAAACUCGGGGCUUAACCCCGAGCCUGCAGUGGAUACGGGCAGACUAGAGGUAGGUAGGGGAGAGUGGAAUUCCCGGUGUAGCGGUGAAAUGCGCAGAUAUCGGGAGGAACACCGGUGGCGAAGGCGGUGCUCUGGGCCGAUACUGACGCUGAGGAGCGAAAGCGUGGGGAGCGAACAGG